rnacentral:rRNA from 1 species
UACAGAGGGUGCAAGCGUUAUUCGGAAUCACUGGGCGUAAAGAGCGCGUAGGCGGCUCGCUAAGUCAGAUGUGAAAUCCCUGGACUCAAUCCAGGAGCUGCAUCUGAUACUGGUGAGCUAGAGUGUAGGAGAGGAGAGCGGAAUUCCAGGUGUAGAGGUGAAAUGCGCAGAUAUCGGGAGGAACACCAAUGGCCGAAGGCAGCUCGCUGGGACGGUAC